rnacentral:snoRNA from 1 species
GCAUGGGUUUCAAUUUAUGGCAGGCUUGUCCCCCUGGUACUCUCAUAGUACCUCAUGCCAGAGCAAGCUGGCCCCGAACCACUGCCUGGCUUCUGCCUAUGGGCUGCUGGCACUGAAAUGGGUUGCAGAGUA